UACGGGGGGGGCAAGCGUUGUUCGGAAUUACUGGGCGUAAAGGGCGCGUAGGCGGCCCGUCAAGUCCCGUGUGAAAGCCCCCGGCUCAACCGGGGAACGGCGCGGGAAACUAGCAGGCUUGAGUUCGGGAGAGGGAAGCGGAAUUCCGGGUGUAGCGGUGAAAUGCGCAGAUAUCCGGAGGAACACCGGUGGCGAAGGCGGCUUCCUGGACCGACACUGACGCUGAGGCGCGAAAGCUAGGGGAGCAAACGGG
rnacentral:rRNA from 1 species